GUCUAUAGCCAUGCCACCCUGAACGUGCCUGGUCUCUUCUGAUCUCAGAAGCUAAGUAGGGUCGGGCCUGGUUAGUACUUGGAUGGGAGACCACCUAGGAAUACCGGGUGCUGUAGGCA
rnacentral:rRNA from 1 species